GGCAGUGGUGGCUAAGUGGUUGAGGCUCGGGUUACUGAUCAGAAGGUCGGGCGUUCAAGCCCCAGCACUGCCA